rnacentral:rRNA from 1 species
UACGUAGGGUGCGAGCGUUGUCCGGAAUUAUUGGGCGUAAAGAGCUCGUAGGCGGUCUGUCGCGUCGGAUGUGAAAACUCGGGGCUCAACCCCGAGCCUGCAUUCGAUACGGGCAGACUAGAGUUCGGUAGGGGAGACUGGAAUUCCUGGUGUAGCGGUGAAAUGCGCAGAUAUCAGGAGGAACACCGGUGGCGAAGGCGGAUCUCUGGGCCAUUACUGACGCUGAGGAGCGAAAGCGUGGGGAGCGAACAGG